rnacentral:rRNA from 1 species
UGGGGAAUAUUGCGCAAUGGGCGAAAGCCUGACGCAGCGACGCCGCGUGGGGGAUGACGGCCUUCGGGUUGUAAACCUCUUUCAGCUUCGACGAAGCCGGAAGGUGACGGUAGGAGCAGAAGAAGCACCGGCCAACUACGUGCCAGCAGCCGCGGUAAUACGUAGGGUGCAAGCGUUGUCCGGAAUUAUUGGGCGUAAAGAGCUCGUAGGCGGUUCGUCGCGUCGGCUGUGAAAUCCCGAGGCUCAACCUCGGGUCUGCAGUCGAUACGGGCGGACUGGAGUUCGGCAGGGGAGACUGGAAUUCCUGGUGUAGCGGUGAAAUGCGCAGAUAUCAGGAGGAACACCGGUGGCGAAGGCGGGUCUCUGGGCCGAUACUGACGCUGAGGAGCGAAAGCGUGGGGAGCGAACAGGAUUAGAUACCCGUGUAGUCC